ensembl:piRNA 21ur-7498 ncRNA
UUAGUAGAAGAUUUUGAAAGC